GGCUGACGGGAAGAUCUUUGUGGGAA
rnacentral:piRNA from 1 species